rnacentral:rRNA from 1 species
CAAUUAAUUUAACUUGGGAGUCAGAACAUGGGUGAUAAGGUCCGUGUUCGAAAGGGAAACAGCCCAGACCACCAGCUAAGGUCCCAAAAUAUAUGUUAAGUGGAAAAGGAUGUGGCGUUGCCCAGACAACUAGGAUGUUGGCUUAGAAGCAGCCAUCAUUUAAAGAGUGCGUAAUAGCUCACUAGUCGAGUGACACUGCGCCGAAAAUGUACCGGGGCUAAACAUAUUACCGAAGCUGUGGAUUGUCCUUUGGACAAUGGUAGGAGAGCGUUCUAAGGGCGUUGAAGCAUGAUCGUAAGGACAUGUGGAGCGCUUAGAAGUGAGAAUGCCGGUGUGAGUAGCGAAAGACGGGUGAGAAUCCCGUCCACCGAUUGACUAAGGUUUCCAGAGGAAGGCUCGUCCGCUCUGGGUUAGUCGGGUCCUAAGCUGAGGCCGACAGGCGUAGGCGAUGGAUAACAGGUUGAUAUUCCUGUACCACCUAUAAUCGUUUUAAUCGAUGGGGGGACGCAGUAG